rnacentral:rRNA from 1 species
CNACGUGUAGCAGUGAAAUGCGUAGAGAUGUGGAGGAAUACCGAUGGCGAAGGCAGCNUCCUGGGAUAACACUGACGUUCAUGCCCGAAAGCGUGGGUAGCAAACAGGAUUAGAUACCCUGGUAGUCCACGCCCUAAACGAUGUCGAUUAGCUGUUGGGCAGCAUGACUGCUUAGUAGCGAAGCUAACGCGUGAAAUCGACCGCCUGGGGAGUACGGUCGCAAGAUUAAAACUCAAAGGAAUUGACGGGGACCCGCACAAGCGGUGGAUGAUGUGGAUUAAUUCGAUGCAACGCGAAGAACCUUACCUGGUCUUGACAUGUACGGAACCCUCCAGAGACGGAGGAGUGCCUUCGGGAGCCGUAACACAGGUGCUGCAUGGCUGUCGUCAGCUCGUGUCGUGAGAUGUUGGGUUAAGUCCCGCAACGAGCGCAACCCUUGUCAUUAGUUGCCAUCAUUAAGUUGGGCACUCUAAUGAGACUGCCGGUGACAAGCCGGAGGAAGGUGGGGAUGACGUCAAGUCCUCAUGGCCCUUAUGACCAGGGCUUCACACGUCAUACAAUGGUCGGUACAGAGGGUAGCCAAGCCGCGAGGCGGAGCCAAUCUCACAAAACUGAUCGUAGUCCGGAUUGCACUCUGCAACUCGAGUGCAUGAAGUCGGAAUCGCUAGUAAUCGCAGGUCAGCAUACUGCGGUGAAAACGUUCCCGGGUCUUGUACACACCG